rnacentral:rRNA from 1 species
GACGAACGCUGGCGGCGUGCUUAACACAUGCAAGUCGAACGGAAAGGCCCCCACUUUUUUGGUGGGGGUGCUCGAGUGGCGAACGGGUGAGUAACACGUGGGUGAUCUGCCCUGUACUUCGGGAUAAGCUUGGGAAACUGGGUCUAAUACCGGAUAGGACCAUGGUUUAGUGUCUCAUGGUGGAGAGAUUAUUGUUUUGGUGCAGGAUGAGCUCGCGGCCUAUCAGCUUGUUGGUGGGGUAAUGGCCUACCAAGGCGUCGACGGGUAGCCGGCCUGAGAGGGUGGACGGCCACAUUGGGACUGAGAUACGGCCCAGACUCCUACGGGAGGCAGCAGUGGGGAAUAUUGCGCAAUGGGCGCAAGCCUGAUGCAGCGACGCCGCGUGGGGGAUGACGGCCUUCGGGUUGUAAACUCCUUUCGUUAGGGACGAAGCCACAUUUUUUUGGGUGUGGUGACGGUACCUUUGUUAAGAAGCACCGGCUAACUACGUGCCAGCAGCCGCGGUAAUACGUAGGGUGCGAGCGUUGUCCGGAAUUACUGGGCGUAAAGAGCUCGUAGGUGGUUUGUUGCGUCGUCUGUGAAAUUCCGGGGCUUAACUUCGGGGUGGCAGGCGAUACGGGCAUAACUAGAGUGCUGUAGGGGAGACUGGAAUUCCUGGUGUAGCGGUGGAAUGCGCAGAUAUCAGGAGGAACACCGAUGGCGAAGGCAGGUCUCUGGGCAGUAACUGACGCUGAGGAGCGAAAGCAUGGGGAGCGAACAGGAUUAGAUACCCUGGUAGUCCAUGCUGUAAACGGUGGGCGUUAGGUGUGGGGACCGGUUUGGUUUCUGUGCCGUAGCUAACGCAUUAAGCGCCCCGCCUGGGGAGUACGGCCGCAAGGCUAAAACUCAAAGGAAUUGACGGGGGCCCGCACAAGCGGCGGAGCAUGUGGAUUAAUUCGAUGCAACGCGAAGAACCUUACCUGGGUUUGACAUGCACCAGACGGUUGUAGAGAUACGUACCUCCCUUUGUGGUUGGUGUGCAGGUGGUGCAUGGUUGUCGUCAGCUCGUGUCGUGAGAUGUUGGGUUAAGUCCCGCAACGAGCGCAACCCUUGUCUUAUGUUGCCAGCACUUUGGGUGGGGACUCAUGAGAGACUGCCGGGGUUAACUCGGAGGAAGGUGGGGAUGACGUCAAAUCAUCAUGCCCUUUAUGCCCAGGGCUUCACACAUGCUACAAUGGUUAGUACAACGCGCUGCGAACCUGUGAGGGUGAGCGAAUCGCUGAAAGCUAAUCUCAGUUCGGAUUGGGGUCUGCAACUCGACCCCAUGAAGUCGGAGUCGCUAGUAAUCGCAGAUCAGCAAUGCUGCGGUGAAUACGUUCCCGGGCCU